CCUACGGGAGGCUGCAGUGGGGAAUAUUGGACAAUGGGGGGAACCCUGAUCCAGCCAUGCCGCGUGUGUGAAGAAGGCCCUCGGGUUGUAAAGCACUUUCAGUGAGGAAGAACGCCUGGUGGUUAAUACCCAUCAGGAAAGACAGCACUCACAGAAGAAGCACCGGCUAACUCCGUGCCAGCAGCCGCGGUAAUACGGAGGGUGCGAGCGUUAAUCGGAAUUACUGGGCGUAAAGCGCGCGUAGGUGGCUUGAUAAGCCGGUUGUGAAAGCCCCGGGCUCAACCUGGGAACGGCAUCCGGAACUGUCAAGCUAGAGUGCAGGAGAGGAAGGUAGAAUUCCCGGUGUAGCGGUGAAAUGCGUAGAGAUCGGGAGGAAUACCAGUGGCGAAGGCGGCCUUCUGGACUGACACUGACACUGAGGUGCGAAAGCGUGGGUAGCAAACAGGAUUAGAUACCCGAGUAGUC
rnacentral:rRNA from 1 species